UUUCCCCCCCGGGGCCCCGGGCCCGUCCCGCCGCCCCCGCCCGCCUAAGGGAGGCAGCAGUGGGGAAUAUUGCGCAAUGGGCGAAAGCCUGACGCAGCGACGCCGCGUGAGGGACGAAGGUCUUCGGAUUGUAAACCUCUUUCAGCAGGGACGAAGCGAAAGUGACGACGA
rnacentral:rRNA from 1 species